ensembl:lncRNA
AGGGGUCCCAAAAUGCAACUUUAAAAACAGCUUAAAAGGCUUCUUUAUAGUGCUCCAGGACCUUAAUCAUCUUUCUGGCCCAGACUGGACUGUCCUAGUGUCACUGAGUGAAGCACUGAUAUUCUUUAUUUGAAUAUAAUCUUUUAUAAUCUUAGACACUGUUCAAUUGAGGGGAGAGUAAAGCAUGAGCAAUUGAAAAAAUAUAUGCCUGGACUUCAAAAUUAAAUCUGAAAACUGUAAUUCUUCAGAUGGGGAUCAUGUAACUAUCAAGUCUGCAUUUCUGCUCUGCUGAGAAGACCUUUGUACCUAUGAAGAGCCUGCAAAGCCUAAUGAGAAGAUAGAUCUAGGGAUGCAAGCUUGGGAACUGGAUAAAAACAGUUAUAGAGACGGUGAUGUUUCAGAGUCUAGCAUUUCUGUUACAAAGACUCACAGUAAGUACAAAGUCUGGUCAUUUCGUACCACAGGGCCUUUCUACUUAUGCUUCUUUACUGUUGUGCUGGACAGCAACGAGGAGCAAAACAUCUUUUGAAAUUCUUCUUGGGAUUGGAUACCUCUAUGGAUAAAAGAGGAAGUCUUUUUGUGUUACUUCUUAUUCAGUGCCAGUGCAGUACUGGAGAAGUAGAAAAGAUCAAGCAGAUUGAAAGCAUUGCUUUAAAUCCUUCUUUUAUCCAUUAGUUGAUGAAAACUGAAGGAUGUCAGGAUUCUGGCAUCGCUGCUGUACUUUUCUUCUGAAUGCAACUGUAUGGAAUGGAGGAAGGAGUGCUGAUAUUGCAAGAAAAUUCCCUAAUGUUUUCAUAGCUUAUACAAAAUGUGAUCUUCCUUUUGGCAGACUUCACUUGGUUGAAUCCCUACCAAUGCAGAAGGUGAAUAAGAAUACCUGGACUCAAUCUGUAAUUCAAUUCUGGAUCCUAUUUCCUAGUUUCACCUGUGCAUGUAUGCUUCUGUCUCUGUGUUUAUGAAUAAUAUCUAUCAGUUCUCUCCAUCAUCCUGGUUGAGAGAGUGAGUGAGUGGGCAGCUGGGUGGAGGGCUUACCUGUCUGCCAGGGACAACCCAACCACAUGGAAGAAGAAACUAUAAGAAUGCAGUAUAAAUGGUUAAAAGCCUUUUAUUUCUGUUUUCUGGUAUUAUUUCAGUUGUUUCUGUGAAUUUGCUUACUGUGCUUUUCUGUACCUUAAGGUUGUUGGCUGGGCUUACUGUUGUCUUUAUAAAACUUACGUUGUACCACACAAAGAUAAACAGAAGUAGAACAAAUUAGCUGUUGUAGACAUCUUGUCUGUUAGAAAUACUGUUACUAGAGCUAAACCAAGUGGGGAAAAGAACACUACAAAAAAAAAAAAAUUGAGGAAAGUUCACAUAGGUGUCCUGACACCUCUAAAUUCAUUGCUAAGCUUAUUAUGACCCAGUAGUAGUCAGAACUGUCCUAUAUGUCUGCAUUUUUACUACAGGAAAGAGACAAGGAAGAUAAGAGGCCCAUUUGGAAAGUUUUUCUAAGAAGCAGACAAAAUUUAGAGUAAGCAGACUGGAAGGAAGGUCUGAAUUUCGAUGAUUUUGUAUUUCUGUGCCAUAAGCAAGGAAAUUAAUAGCAACUUUGGAGCAAAUACAGUUACAAGAAAAGUAACGCAGUAACUGUUGUUUCCAUGAUAGAAAGGAAGGAGCAAAAAAAAUCUCAACUGAAGGAGCAUUUUUCCUGUUCAGACAAAAAUAAUCUUCACCAAGUAGGAGUACAAAUUGCAUUUAACCAAAACAAUGUAUAAAUAUUAUUCUAACCAUGUGGAUAAAAGGCUGCAUAAUCCACAAUUGCAAUUAGUAUUUUGUUUACGACAGCAUUAACCUUUCUGAAACUAAAACUUUACAGUUAGGGUGAACAGGAAAGCAAAGAUAUUGGGAUACUUCGCUAGAUUGGAGCAAUAUGAAGUCAUGAGUUUCAAGGAUUUUGUCAUAUCUCUAUGGAUUUACAGUGGCACAUGUCUUUUUUUUCCUAAGGCAAGCUAGAUUUAAGAAUUCAUGAGCUAUUUUUUUAUUUAGAACUCAGAUUUUAAGGAAUAAUCUCUGUUAAUGGUAUGUGUGAAUGUGUAGUCAUUUUUACAGCUUAAAUAUGCAGUUCAUUCAAGUUGGAUGAAAAUAAGUCUCUUGCAUUUACUUGCAGAUAAAUUCAUGGG